UUCAAUCAAAAUGAAUCAAUAAGAUAAUAUCAUAAGUAUGGUUUCAUCUAUACAUCAAAUGGAUCAAAAUAUGAUUAAAUAGAGACAACCUAUCAAUGCCUCAAAGUUUCAUGAAUGAUUCAUUAAUUGUUCAUUGAUAGAUUUGAAGUAUUGAAGAUUUUAUCAACCCAAGAAACCAAAGUCAUGACCAGUAGAUUUCAUUAACCAAUCAAU
rnacentral:lncRNA from 1 species